CCUCUGUGGGGACCAGGGAGGGUUUCAGAGGCAGGUUGAUUCUUUUGGGGCAUGCCACCUGCAUUUAAGGGGUGGCCAUCAGACAGGUGACCUACUGGACUAGACUCUUCCCCGGAUAUCAAAACAGGUGUAAGCUUCAGUCCCGCCAUGUGGCUGGGGAGGGAUGGGGGAAGAAGGGGCCCCUCAAGAAUGAGAACAUAUUAUUUGAACAUGGGCCUUGCAGGCUUGGUCUGCAAUGCUGGACUCUGCAGGCUUGGCCUGGGGCAAGGGACACAGAGACCGUGAAGGGGACUCCAGUUUUGGGUUUGAGCAGAGUGGAGGGGCUACUGGUUCAGGAGGAGGCUGCUUCAGGUGGAGUCAGCCAGUUGGCACUGAGGUAAAGGGCUUCCCACAUGAGCAUCUUUUCCAGGAUGGCUUUGAAAACAGCCAGGAUGAAAUGGGCACAUCCUUGGACACAUUCAGCGAGGAGAUGGGGCUCCCGCGAGGCAGGGGCUGUGGGAAGCGCGGGACGGGAAAAUGGGCUCAUUUUUAUUGCUUCGUGUCCUUUGUUUCUGGCUCAAAUAGACCCGGUCCUGAUGUCUGCUUCAGCUGCAGGAGCAGAGCCAGUAUGCUUGGCACUUCCGCAUGCAUCCUCUCCCCUCCUCUCCCCAGCAACCCCCGUCACUAUCUCAGAUCUCUUUCAUCCACCUGCAGAAUGAUUAAAGCUUGGGGCAGCCUGAGCCAGGACCGACAAAUCAGGUGCAGGCUUUCAGAGACUAAAUCCUGUUUUGAAGUCUGUUUACUCUAAAAAAAAAUUAAUCUCUUUGAUGCCUGGAGAAGAAAGAUGCAUAUUAAACAAAGACCCAACUCUGAAUUCCAAAUGCGUGGCCGUUGUUAUCAAUCUCUCCAGGUCCAAACUCGGGAAAGCAUGCAUCCUCUGUGUGUGCCCUUUUCACCAGGCGUGUGGACACGUAAUUCAUUAGAGUUAAUUAGUCAGUCACAUGCAUCCCCCAGAUGCUGGAUCAGAGCCUUCAUGGGGGCCUGUGCAGCUGUUGGAUAGAGAGAGAGACACAGUGGAGAUGGCAAGGGAGCUGGGGCUGAACAGUCUUGAUCUCUGAAACAGACGGUGUGUGCGCAUGUGCGCGUGUGUGUAUGGUCAUUUACACCCCUGGGUGCAGCAGCAGGUGCGGAGGAACAUAUUUGGGUGGGAGCUCUGAGCACCUGGACUGUUGGCCGGCUCUGCUCCCACCAACUUUGUGGCUUGAGCUGCCUUCUGCAUGUCCCUCAUCAAAUCAGCUGGGACAUCACUGGGGGCCAGAUUGUGUCCUCUCCUGGCAAAAUUUACAUGCUAAAGCCCAAGUCCCCGGUGCCCCAGAAUGUGACUGUACUGUGUUUGGCGAUGAGGUCUUUCAAAGGUGAUUAAGUUGAAAUGAGGCCAUUAGGAUGGGUCCUCAUCCAACCUGACUGGUGUCCUCACAAUAAUUUGGACACAGAGACACCAGGGAUAUGUGAGCGCCCGGAGACCAUGUGAGGACACAGUGGGAAGACAGACACCUGCAAGCCAAGGAGAGAGGCCUGAGGAGAAGCCAAACCUGCUGACACCUUGAUCUUGAGCUUCUAACCUACAGCACUGUGAGAUGAUACAUUUCUGCUGUUGAAACCACCCCCAGUCUGUGGUUCUUCGUGAUGGCAGCGCCAGGAAACAAAUGCAGAUACCAUCACCUUCCUGUCGGCAGUCCAAGCUCACCCAGCAGACCCAAGGAGACACUGCAGGUGAAAGUACCAUGGAGAUUAGCAGGCAAUAGGCAAUUCUCUUUCAUUCUUCUCUUAUUGCAUUAAGGAGAAAAUCUCAUUUGGUGAAGGUGAGAAAACCUGAGGUGGAGGAGAGGCUAAGGGGCUCGUCUGAGUUCACACAGCAGGGCGGAGAAGAGAGGUCAGCCUUUGGCGGAGAAGAGAGGUCAGCCUUGACCACAGCAUGAAGACAACAGGAAGCGUAUGAGCAGCUCUUGGUGGUGGAGACCUCAGGAGGGAGGAGUUGGCUUUUCAUAUUUACCAAGGACUCAUUCUCCCCUCCCUGUCGUUGGGACAUGAAGUAGUUCCAUUGUAAACUUGUCUGGUGGUAGAGUCGGAGGCUGGAGCUCAGAGCCUUGGGAGCCUCCUGCCGCUGCCUUGCUGUGUGUCUCGGGGCAGGUUGCUUCCCCUCUCUGAGCUCACCAGCAACCAGAUUCAGAUGGUCUAGAGGACUGAUGAGUGUUCCCCUGGUUCUUCCAGGGGACAUUGGGGCGACAUGGGCAGCCCCGGAAGGAAACUUGUUCCUUGAACUUUGAUACACAUUCUGAGAUCUGAACCUGCAGGUGGAGGCCAAGGAAAAAACCUAGUGAGCCCAGGGUGGGGUGUGCAAUGGCAUCCAAGGAUGUGGAGCAAGAAGACAAGGCAUAGACCAGGCCUGAGCCGAGGCCUCAAGUUCCCUUAGCCCUACCUCAAGGGGGGCUGAACUGCUGCCUAGUGACUGGGGCUGGAAGCUGGCAUUGAGCCCAUGCCAUCCAUUUGUCAUGGUUUGCUGUAAAUAGAAUCAUAUUGUUCACUAUUUAGUACGCUGUAAAUAAAAUGGUAGUAAUAUUUUCAUUAUUAAC